AUUUAUAUAGUUUAAAAAAAACAUUAUUUUUUCAUAAUAACAAUAAUACUAAAUUAUUUAUAAAUA
rnacentral:tRNA from 1 species